UUCAGGUGACAUGAAACAUGCUGAGAUUUGGACUUCAAUCCUUGAUUGUGCACGGGUAUGCAUGCUUCAUACCCAUGCUGGAAACAAAUUUUCAUUUUCAAACUGAGUAAUGAUACUAUAACUACCGACAUGUAGAUUUAUGCUCCAUGUAGUAUAUUACUGGUCCAUUAUAGCUAGAUUCAGUUCACCAUUUGCAAGAUCAUAUUCCACUAUAUAGAGACUAAAUAUUGUUUCAUUUAGCUGUUAGUCCAUCUAUGUAGCUCAUUCAGUUCUCUGAAACCUGGGGAGAUUAAUCCAAAGCUGAACCAGGAACCACACGUCGAUUAGAGUUGUGGCAGCGGCAGAUUCACCUUCCCUUUGUGCCUCGUUGGACACAACAAGGGCUACCAACGCUUGAUCGGGACCUCUCCCAAGACAACGGAUACACUGUUUGGAAAGGAUCGUGAAAGUGACAUGUGUCAUGAGUCUGGUUCAUCGCAACAUCGGUGUUGUUUGGUUCUUCUUUUCUCCAAGCAUGGUUCUGGCUCGGCAGUGGUAGUAGUUGUGGCUAUGGAGAUCAAGAACAAUGGGAAUGAAUGGUGUGACAUCGGUGAUGAUGUAGCUGAAGGAGAGGAUAAACAGACAUGAUGUGUUUCUGACUAAUGGGCUGCAGGGUUGGCACAAGGGAACUAUUGUUAUGCCUUGUGAGGUCCGACGACGGUGACCGGAUGACUUGAGCAAAGCUGUGAAAAAAUCAGUUUUUUUCCAGAAACAUAAAACAGUGACAUACAAUAUAAUGCAUCAGCGGAAGAGGAGGAGGAGGCAUAUGAAGCUGAGAGAGGUGACGGGGAGCACAAGAAACUGCUCCCGCUGCAAGAGAGGGAGCCAUGCCAAUAGUCAGUUGUGGGCUUGUGGCGCUGGUCGCGACCGCCGCAUCACCAACCAUGAUCGUCCAGGCUGUGGCAUGGGGGUCGUGCUUGCUGCUUGCGCGGCGAUUCCCCCAUCGUGAUGAUAAGGCGACUCGCGACUCCCCAACCCCGAUGAUAAGGCUUCAUCCAUUCAAUUUUGACUCUGUAGACAACUAGCUUUUGGUAAGUGCAGCAUGCUCAAGUUUACUUUGUAGCUAUUUUCGUGUUCUGCAUUUUAGUGGUACAAGAUUGUGUUGCUCAAUCUUGGCCUAGAGGUGCUCCCAUUUUAGGCCAAACACAUUUUAUUCUGAAACCAUUGCAUUGUUUGCUGAAAUGCUUCAAGGUGGUUUUACUAUGACAGUAUAACCAUGCUUGUAAUGCCAGCAUGGCUUGAGAGGUCGGCUAAUUCAGUAGGCUUAUUCAAUGGCGAAUAGGUCCAUGUAUUAGAUAGGAUCAACAAGAGUUGGCUGGCAGCUGCUAUGUAUAUGUUAUGGAUCAGAGGCAAUUAAUCUGUCUUUGCCCCCCUUUUUUUAAUUCAAGCCCUUAAGAUUAUGCUCUUAAAUGCA